AAAAGAUUAUGGGUCCUAACUCCUGAGCACAUACUAGGCAUCUUAGCUGGAAUGCUACUGGUUCCAUCAACUACGCUAUGAAGUGAGGCCACUUGGGAACAUUUUCAGAUUGCAAACUGUGCCACCACAGCCACAUCAUUUUCAGGUAGGGCUGGAGUUUAGUUCUGCCAGAGCCCCAGUGCAGACAGGACAGAACCGCUGUUCCAGGUGCAACUGUGAUAAGGCUACACCCACCGGAACCCCGCCUUGAAGAUCUGCUCGCUGCAGUGCUUGGGAAGGCCGCUCACGCCUGAAGCUCGCUCUAAAUACACUGGAAACAAGUAUGGCAGUGUUAAGUGCCAAUAAAGGUAUUGGUUUUGUAGUGUA